GGCAGAGGUUAGAAGAGUUUGUAGGGCUCAGAAGAAGACAGAAAGAUGAAGGAGAGUUUGGAACUUCUGAGAAACUGGUUAAAUGGUUGUGACCAAAAUGCUAUUAGUGGUAUGAACAGUGAAGUUGAGACUGACAAGGUCUCUAAAGCAAAUAAGGAAUUAAUGGGAAACUGGAGCAAAGGUCACUGCUGUUAUGCUUUAGCAAAGAGCUUGGCUGCAUUCUGCUCAUGACCUAGGGAUCUGUGGAAUUUUAAAGUUAAGAUUGAUGACUUAGGGUAUCUGGUGGAAGAAAUUUCUAAGCAACAAAAUGUUCCAGAUAUGACCUGGUUGCUUCUAACAGCCUACACUCAGAUGUGAAAG